rnacentral:sRNA from 1 species
UUUCCAAUCCACACAUGCACCGACACAUACGGCCGGGUGCCCGACGCGGAUUGGCGCUCGGGUUGCCGUAUGCGGGUGUAUGGAGGCUCAAC